rnacentral:rRNA from 1 species
AGAGUUUGAUCCUGGCUCAGGACGAACGCUGGCGGCGCGCCUAACACAUGCAAGUCGAACGAGCGAGAGAGAGCUUGCUUUCUCGAGCGAGUGGCGAACGGGUGAGUAACGCGUGAGGAACCUGCCUCAAAGAGGGGGACAACAGUUGGAAACGACUGCUAAUACCGCAUAAGCCCACGGCUCGGCAUCGAGCAGAGGGAAAAGGAGCAAUCCGCUUUGAGAUGGCCUCGCGUCCGAUUAGCUAGUUGGUGAGGUAACGGCCCACCAAGGCGACGAUCGGUAGCCGGACUGAGAGGUUGAACGGCCACAUUGGGACUGAGACACGGCCCAGACUCCUACGGGAGGCAGCAGUGGGGAAUAUUGCACAAUGGGGGAAACCCUGAUGCAGCGACGCCGCGUGGAGGAAGAAGGUCUUCGGAUUGUAAACUCCUGUUGUUGGGGAAGAUAAUGACGGUACCCAACAAGGAAGUGACGGCUAACUACGUGCCAGCAGCCGCGGUAAAACGUAGGUCACAAGCGUUGUCCGGAAUUACUGGGUGUAAAGGGAGCGCAGGCGGGAAGACAAGUUGGAAGUGAAAUCUAUGGGCUCAACCCAUAAACUGCUUUCAAAACUGUUUUUCUUGAGUAGUGCAGAGGUAGGCGGAAUUCCCGGUGUAGCGGUGGAAUGCGUAGAUAUCGGGAGGAACACCAGUGGCGAAGGCGGCCUACUGGGCACCAACUGACGCUGAGGCUCGAAAGUGUGGGUAGCAAACAGGAUUAGAUACCCUGGUAGUCCACACCGUAAACGAUGAUUACUAGGUGUUGGAGGAUUGACCCCUUCAGUGCCGCAGUUAACACAAUAAGUAAUCCACCUGGGGAGUACGACCGCAAGGUUGAAACUCAAAGGAAUUGACGGGGGCCCGCACAAGCAGUGGAGUAUGUGGUUUAAUUCGACGCAACGCGAAGAACCUUACCAAGUCUUGACAUCCCUUGACAGACAUAGAAAUAUGUUUUCUCUUCGGAGCAAGGAGACCGCGUCGGAAUCGGCAGACGGCAUCCGGACGGCAUCCGAAAUAAAAGGUGAGCGGCCGAAGCCCGAAGUGAAGCAUCCGAAGCACCCCGCAGCCGGAUCACGGACAGCGCCCGAAGGCGGGCCAGGUGCAUCGGGGGCCGAAGAGGUCCUGAAGAGCAGCUCCUCC